rnacentral:rRNA from 1 species
UACGGAGGGUGCGAGCGUUGUCCGGAAUCACUGGGCGUAAAGGGCGCGUAGGCGGCCUGAUAAGUAGGGGGUGAAAUCCUGCGGCUUAACCGCAGGGCUGCCUUCUAAACUGUCAGGCUGGAGCACAGUAGAGGCAGGUGGAAUUCCCGGUGUAGCGGUGGAAUGCGUAGAGAUCGGGAAGAACAUCAGUGGCGAAGACGGCCUGCUGGGCUGUUGCUGACGCUGAGGCGCGACAGCGUGGGGGAGCAAACAGG